rnacentral:rRNA from 1 species
AUUGAACGCUGGCGGCAGGCCUAACACAUGCAAGUCGAGCGAGCGGCGGACGGGUGAGUAAUGUCUGGGAAACUGCCUGAUGGAGGGGGAUAACUACUGGAAACGGUAGCUAAUACCGCAUACCAUCAGAUGUGCCCAGAUGGGAUUAGCUAGUGGGUGGGGUAAUGGCUCACCUAGGCGACGAUCCCUAGCUGGUCUGAGAGGAUGACCAGCCACACGGGAACUGUGACACGGUCCAGAGUCCUACGGGAGGAAGCAGUGGGGAAUAGUGCGCAAUGGGCGAAAGCGUGAUGCAGCCAUGCCGCGUGUGGGAAGAAGGCUUUCGGGGUGUAAAGCACUUUCAGCGGGGAGGCGUUACCCGCAGAAGAAGCACCGGCUAACUCCGUGCCAGCAGCCGCGGUAAUUC